rnacentral:miRNA from 1 species
UUUGAAGCCUUGAUGACAGGCAUUGACUUCUCUCUAGCUAUAAAAUUCCUACAUGGCAUCUUCAUCCAAUGAAAGACUUGCUCACUGGCUGGAAGUCU